rnacentral:rRNA from 1 species
CAAUAGCGCGGUAAUUAAAGUUGUUGCAGUUAAAAGCUCGUAGUUGGAUAUCUGCCGAGGACGACCGGUCCGCCCUCUGGGUGAGUAUCUGGUUCGGCCUGGGCAUCUUCUUGGAAAACGUAUCCGCACUUGAUUGUGUGCUGCGGCAUCCAAAACUCUUACCUUGAGGACAGGCACACGCCUUGAAUGCGUUAGUAGGGAAUAAUAAGACACGACGUUGGUCCUAUUUUGUUGGUUUCUAGAGCUGAGGUAAUGAUCAAUAGGGAUAGUUUGGGGCAUUCGUAUUUAACUGUCAGAGGUGAAAUUCUUGGAUUCGUUAAAAGACGGAUUAUUGCGAAAGCAUUUGCCAGGGAUGUUCUCAUUGGUCAAGAGCCAAAGUUAGGGGAUCGAAGACGAUUAGAUACCGU